rnacentral:tRNA from 1 species
ACAUUGGUGGUUCAGUGGUAGAAUUUUUGCCUCCCAUGCAGGAAAGCCAGGUUUGAUUCUUGGCCAGUGGA